rnacentral:lncRNA from 1 species
GUCACUGUAGCAGCUUGGGUCACUCUGUGGCACAGGGUUCAAUCCCUGGCCUGGAAACUUCCACAGGCCCCAGGCACAGCCCUAAAUAAAUAAAUAAAUAAAGUCUACAAACAAAUGCUGGAAAAGGUGUGGAGAAAAGGGAACCCUCCUACACUAUUGGUGGGACUGUAAAUUGGCGCAACCACUAUGGAGGAGAGUAUGGAAGUUCCUCAGAAAAUUCAAUAUAGAACUACCAUAUGAUCCAGCAAUCCCACUCCUGGGCAUAUAUCCGAACAGAACAACAACUCAAAAAGAUACAUGCACCCCAAUGUUCAUUGCAGCACUAUUUAUAUAGCCAUGACGUGAAAGCAACCUAAAUGUCCAUCGACAGUGGAAUGGAUAAAGAUGUGGUACAUAUAUACAAUGGAAUAUUAGCCAUAAAAAAGAACAAAAUGCCAUUUGCAGCAACAUGCAUAGACCUCGAGAUUAUCACACUAAGUGGAGUAAGUCAAAGACAAAUAUCGUAUGGUAUCACUUAUAUGUGGAAUCUUAAAAAAUGAUAUGAAUGAACUAAUUUAUGAAACCAAAAGACUCAAAGACUUUGAAAACAAAUUUAUGCUUACCAAAGGGGAAAGGUGGAGGAAGGGAUAAAUUUUGAGUUGGGGAUUAACAUAUACACACUACUAUAUAUAAAAUAGAUAAUUAGGAGUUCCCAUUGUGGCUCAGUUAACGAACCCAACCAGUAACCAUGAGGUUGUAGGUUCGAUCCCUAGCCUCGCUCAGUGGGUUAAGGAUCCAGCAUUGCCAUGAGCUGUGGUGUAGGCUGCAGAUGCGGCUCAGAUCCAGAGUUCUGGCUGUGGCUGUGGUGUAGGCCAGCAGCUACAGCUCCGAUUAGACCCCUAGCCUGGGAACCUCCAUAUGCCGCAGGUGCAGUCCUAAAAACAAAAGACAAAAAAAACAAGGACCUACUGUGUAGUACAGGGAACUCCAAUCAAUAUUCUGUAAUAACCUUUAUAGGAAAAGAAUCUGGGAGUUCCCUGGUGGCUCAGGUCAAGGAUCCACGGUUGUCACUGCUGUGGCACAUGUUUAAUUCCUGGCCCAGGAACUUCUGCAUGUCACAGGUGCGGCUAAAAAAAAAGGAAUCUGAAUAAGUAUAUAUGUGUGUGUGUGUGUGUGUAUAUAUAUAUAUAUAUACAUACAUAUAUAUAUAUAGCUGAAUCAUUUUGCUGUACACCUGAAACUAACACAAUACUAUAAAUCAACUAUAGUCCAAUAUAAAUAUUAAAUUUUUUUAAAAAAGGAAAAUAAAGCAAAAGGAGGCUUGAGGCUGUGGAGGGAGCUGAGCAUAGAAAUCAGAAAAGAAAGUGAAGCCAGGAAGCAAUUGACAGAUUGAAAACAGGAACAAUCGAAGGAACAGAAGUCUCUAAUGAGGUCCCACAGCAGAUGUAGUGGCAGGGAUUAAAGUACAGGAAAUAAGGGCCAGAACCUGCAGCUUUCAGAUGAGAGCAGCUGCAAGUGAUCGCAAGGGCCUGGAAUGGCGAAUGCUGUGGGCCAGGGGCCAGAAUCGGUGAAUGUGGGAGAGUGACCAGGAAGCCCAUAGAUGAUUUUUAUGGGGAAUAGGAGAGUCUCACACUAACGGACUCUGUGAUCACAGGCAAGUCACUUUCUCUCUCAGGGCCUCUGAUUCUGGAUCUAUGCUACCUCUCUGUUACCUGCUCCCAGAAGAACCCAAAGAAAUAACCAGUUUCCAAAUGUUCUGUCCUCACCUACCACUCCUGUCUGGUUUCCUCUUCCUAGAUCCCAGCACCUCUAAUUUCUUGCUCUUCUCCAGAGCAGCUCUAGAGGCGGCUGCUGUUCCAAAGGCACCACAGGGAACUGCACUCUCCAGGGUACAAAAAAGGCCAGUCCACAUUUCCUCACUUUUAGGGAGGCUACCUAACCUUCCAAGGAAAGGAGCGUAACUCUGACUACUAGAACUCCUAGGGGAAAUCACAGGGUCACGCUUGCCCUUUGAAAAAGAAAGGAAUCUCUAACAGUAAUAUGGCUAUUAAAAAGAAAUCAUUACUCACUCCAGAAGUAGAAUUCCUCAUUACUGGUUGGUUAUAUGCAAUUAGCACCAGGAUGACGAUUUACUAAAAUCAAUUCAAGGAACAGUCAACAAUAAAGAAAUGGUUACUAUGAUAUACCCAUUCAAGGAAAUAUUACACCGUCAUUACAAAGUAUAUUUACCUAGACUGUAAUAAUAUGGGGAAUUGAUUGCAAAUGGGAGAAUAAGAAUAUAACAUGCAAUACAUGUGUAUUAUAUAUUACGGAAAAAGAAAUGAAAGAAAACAACAAACGUCAUUCAUUCCACAAAUAAUUACUGAGCACCUAUAUAUGCCAGGCCAUGUACUUAAAAAAAAAAAAAAAAAAAAAACCCAAAAUACAGUGGUGACUGCUGUCCUGUGUUAAAGUCAGACUUAAACUUACCUGGUGUGAGUAUAUUAGCAUUUUGUGACCCCAUGCUUUUUUGGUUUGGUUUGGUUUGGUUGUCUUUUGGGGGCCGCAUGUGCCACAUAUGGAAGUUCCCAGGCUAGGGGGUCGAAUCAGAGCUACAGCAGCCUGCCUACAUCUCAGCCACAGCAAUGCUGGAUCCAAGUCGCCUAGGGGACCUACACCACAGCUCACCGCAACAUCCGUUACUUAACUCACUGAGCAAGACAAGGGAUGGAACCCGCGUCCUCAUGGAUACCAGUCUGUUUCGUUAUUCUGGGUCACAACAGGAACUCCGUAACCCCAUGUUUCUGAUGUCAAAAUAAAUACAUUCCAGCAGAACGAAAUAUACUACUGACUUAGCCAUAACGCAUUUCCCUUGUCCUUCAAACCGACCGACUCACUGAAAAUGCCAGGCACAGAGCUAACCGUAUCACACACGUUUCUGAAAGAACGAAAGAACACUGGACACAUACUCCUUUGCUUAGUUGUGUGGCAAAGAUAAGACACUCUUGCCUCUGCCCGUUGCAAAAAGAAAAGAAAAAAGAAAAAAAAAAGGAAAAAGACAAAUGCAAAAAACGGCCCUCAAAACAAACUACAGAAUCUUUAAUCUUGGAAUGAAUAUGUCAACAAACACAUAAACUAAGGAGGAACUGCCCUGAGACGAGUAAGUUAACAUCUUUGAAGUGGUCAAGGGUCUGAAACCAUGCCUGUGGGGAAAAUGCUGGGUAGCUAUCCCACCAGCUAAAAAAGACUCUGUCCCUAUUCACCUUCAGUGCCACCCGCCCCUUUCUUCAAGGGACUUCUUGGGCCUGGGACUCCAGGGAUACCGGUGGUUCCUGGAGCCAAUAAGCGCCGAGUGUACCCCAGCAACCCUGCUCCGAACGUCGCCCUCCUCCAAGCCCACUCGGGAAAGAGUCU